CCUACGUGAGGCAGCAGUGAGGACUAUUGGUCAAUGGCCGGAAGGCUGAACCAGCCAUGCCGCGUGAAGGUCAGUGCCCUAUGGGCGUUAAACUUCUUUUGUGCGGGAGCAAUAAUGGUCACGUGUGGCCAGACGAGAGUACCGUACGAAUAAGCAUCGGCUAACUCCGUGCAAGCAGCCGCGGUAAUACGGGGGAUGCAAGCGUUAUCCGGAUUUAUUGGGUUUAAAGGGUGCGUAGGCUGUGAGGUAAGUCAGCUGUGAAAUGCCCCCGCUCAACGGGGUGAAGUGCCAUUGAUACUGCCUGGCUUGAAUGCGGAUGCCGUGGGAGGAAUGUGUGGUGUAGCGGUGAAAUGCAUAGAUAUCACGCAGAACACCGAUUGCGAAGGCAUCUCACGAAUCCGCGAUUGACGCUGAUGCACGAAAGCGUGGGUAUCAAACAGGAUGAGAUACCCCUGUAGUC
rnacentral:rRNA from 1 species